rnacentral:rRNA from 1 species
GACGAACGCUGGCGGCGUGCUUAACACAUGCAAGUCGAACGGAAAGGCCUGCUUUCCCUUGUGGAUUGCGGGUGCUCGAGUGGCGAACGGGUGAGUAACACGUGAGUGAUCUGCCCCCAACUUGGGUAUAAGCCUGGGAAACUGGGUCUAAUUCCCGAUAGGACUGCAGGGUGGUGCCUGUGGUGGAAAACGAUUUUCUAGUGGUUGGGGAUGAGCUCGCGGCCUAUCAGCUUGUUGGUGGGGUAAUGGCCUACCAAGGCGGCGACGGGUAGCCGGCCUGAGAGGGUGGACGGCCACAUUGGGACUGAGAUACGGCCCAGACUCCUACGGGAGGCAGCAGUGGGGAAUAUUGCACAAUGGGCGGAAGCCUGAUGCAGCGACGCCGCGUGGGGGAUGACGGCCUUCGGGUUGUAAACUCCUUUCGACCGCGAGGAAGCCACCUGGGCGGAAGGGUGGUGACGGUAGUGGUAGAAGAAGCACCGGCUAACUACGUG